UUUUCCCCCUGGGUGUUUGCAAUGUUAGCGGCAGUCUGUCAUUUGUCCAGCGUGCUGGUGCCCUCGUUGUGCUGUUAUAGUGGGUUACGUGACUGUUGAACCUCAGUUGGCUUUAGGUUGACCUGAUGUUGGUUAACAUAUGCCGGUAAAAUGUUAAUUCGUCUGGGGUGACCACUGUUCGGAGCUGGGGUCCCAUGGGUGGAUGGAUCUGUCCGGUGGUGGUGCUUCCUCCUCAGUGCGUGCUGUGUAACACUUGAAGUGUGUGUGGUGUGAUCUAAGUGCACAGUGGGGUGAUUGUGUGUGCCUUUUUGUAAACAAGUCGUGAUUAAGUGAUCCCUCCCACUGGGGACCUCAGCCCUGCUGAUUACUAUGUGUUUGUUUGUUUCUAUUAAUUUUACUUUUUUUAGUGUGUGUUGAUUGUGGUGCAUUUUGAAGUGGAGAGAGUGUAUGUUUUAGAGUGCUCCUUUUACAAAGAUUAUGUGUAAAUAAAAAUCUAUUCUUGUAUUAUACCCACGUCUCUUGCUCACUCUUCCUCUUAAAGAGGAACGAACUUGUGUGCCUUACUGCCUUUUUGGGUGUAAGGAAUAUUUCCCUAGGUGUAAGUCCCGGGGUGGCGUAGUCGGAAUAUUAUGCAAAAUCUUUGCCUUCGUCAAAGUUAGGCAAUCCCCCUCGUCCUGCUACAUUCUGGCGUAGUCGGCAGGGCCCUCUGAUUUAGAGCGCAAAGACGUGGGUAUUGUGUUUUCGUGUGCAUGUGGGUUUGUUUUUUUUAUCUUUUGCAGGAACCAGACAGAGGCAGUUUUCGUGUCGCGACCCCAGCACAAUUUGUUGCAGGGUUUGUGCGUUCGAUCGUUUGUGGUAAGCAGUCCUGGGGUAUUUUAAUGGGGGACAAGUUAUCUGGGGUAAGAAAUUCAGUAGCCCUAUGGUAGGUGGAACUUGUUAUUGGUUUAAGAACGAAAGGGAGAAUCUGAAUGUAUUGUCACGUAGAGGGCCAGCUGGGUUUGUAUGGGCAGGGUUGUGAAAGUCUGGGGAUGUUGGACAUGGCGUAUCAUUAAAGGCACCAUAAAAUUGGUUGUCGUAAUCCAAUCUGUAUGAUCUGUACAGUUUUGUCUGAAGUUUGGGUAUUACUGAGGAAGGUUUAUGUCUGUAACUUAAAUUUUAUGAAGGAAUGGUAGGUACUAAUCGGUCCCAGGUCAUUCGUUGUCGAAUGGGGUCCCUCAGAGUCUGGGGUGGAACCAUCGGAUGAAUUUUAUUGGUAGGAUACGUACCCCCAGGUCAGUCAUUUCAAAUGGGGUCCCUCAGCACUUGGGGUGAAACCAUCUGACGAAUUUUAUUAUGCAGGAGAUGUAUCCCAGUGUUAGUUAAUUUUAUUUAAGGGUGGGUAGGUACAAAUCGGUCCCAUGCCAGUUGUGGUCGGAUGGGGUCCCUCAGAGUCUGGGGUAGAACCAUCCGAUGAGGUUUUGGUAGGAGAUGUACCUUCUCCCCAGGUCAGUCAUUUUUUGAUGGGGUCCCUCAGAGUCUGAGGUGAAACCAUCGGAGAUUUAUUGCACCGGGAAGCUCUUGUUUUAGUUAUGCAUUAUUAGAGUAUGUCAGUUUAGUACUCCAAUUGAUACCACUUCUUGUAAAUGGCGGGCACAGUGUGUCUGCAGAGUGGAUCGUAAAUGUGCCUUUUUCCGACCUUGGGGCUGAGCACCCUGAGGUGGGUUUUGUUAGUUCACCGUCGGGGCGACGUUGCAGAAACUUGGGGUGGAUUGUAGCAGGAUUAGGUGAGCUGUGAUUGACAGCUGAUUUCACCUAUUAGGAAGGGGCAGUCCCUUUUUAAGAGCCGAUUGGCUGCUGCCCGGGAUGCGUCAUGUCCUGUUUUCCCCCUGGGUGUUUGCAAUGUUAGCGGCAGUCUGUCAUUUGUCCAGCGUGCUGGUGCCCUCGUUGUGCUGUUAUAGUGGGUUACGUGACUGUUGAACCUCAGUUGGCUUUAGGUUGACCUGAUGUUGGUUAACAUAUGCCGGUAAAAUGUUAAUUCGUCUGGGGUGACCACUGUUCGGUUUCUCCCUUUCGUUCCAUUCAGUGUCUCUCCAUGCGCUUUGUUUUUAACUAUUGCGCUGCAGUGUUGCCCCGCUGUUAACCAUGACAUUAUCUGCACUGCUAUAAUCUGAACUGUACACUGUCUGGUUCUGCUGGGCAUCUAGAAGUAACGCUCCACUUUUAACGUGACUAUUACAAAGCCAAGGUUCGCUCUCGGUGUGUGAACGAGUAGCUUUCCAUCAGCUUUGUUUUUAAUGCAUCGAGUAUCUGUUUACUUGGUUUGUUUACUUUUUUUUUCUCUUAUUGUCUAAGUAGACAACAAUUUGUCUGUGAACUUGUCUCUGUCCAUAUGAUCCAAGGUACUAAUAUGUAAGAUUGCUCAUUGCAGUGGGUUCUUGAGGACUGUGCCCUGUUUAUUAUACUGACUGCUACAUUGUUAGUACCUACAUCUUGUAUACUGCCUUAUUGUAUGGAUGUGGUUUAAUUGUCGUUGAUUCUCUAUUUGAUUCUUUUCUUUUAUUGUUUGUGGUGGUCAUCAGCCUUGUGAGUAAGGCUAGGCGCCACCAUUUUGUUUUGAGUGACCUAAUUAUUUACAUUGUUUUAAUUUGUUGCAGGAGCUGGGGUCCCAUGGGUGGAUGGAUCUGUCCGGUGGUGGUGCUUCCUCCUCAGUGCGUGCUGUGUAACACUUGAAGUGUGUGUGGUGUGAUCUAAGUGCACAGUGGGGUGAUUGUGUGUGCCUUUUUGUAAACAAGUCGUGAUUAAGUGAUCCCUCCCACUGGGGACCUCAGCCCUGCUGAUUACUAUGUGUUUGUUUGUUUCUAUUAAUUUUACUUUUUUUAGUGUGUGUUGAUUGUGGUGCAUUUUGAAGUGGAGAGAGUGUAUGUUUUAGAGUGCUCCUUUUACAAAGAUUAUGUGUAAAUAAAAAUCUAUUCUUGUAUUAUACCCACGUCUCUUGCUCACUCUUCCUCUUAAAGAGGAACGAACUUGUGUGCCUUACUGCCUUUUUGGGUGUAAGGAAUAUUUCCCUAGGUGUAAGUCCCGGGGUGGCGUAGUCGGAAUAUUAUGCAAAAUCUUUGCCUUCGUCAAAGUUAGGCAAUCCCCCUCGUCCUGCUACAUUCUGGCGUAGUCGGCAGGGCCCUCUGAUUUAGAGCGCAAAGACGUGGGUAUUGUGUUUUCGUGUGCAUGUGGGUUUGUUUUUUUUAUCUUUUGCAGGAACCAGACAGAGGCAGUUUUCGUGUCGCGACCCCAGCACAAUUUGUUGCAGGGUUUGUGCGUUCGAUCGUUUGUGGUAAGCAGUCCUGGGGUAUUUUAAUGGGGGACAAGUUAUCUGGGGUAAGAAAUUCAGUAGCCCUAUGGUAGGUGGAACUUGUUAUUGGUUUAAGAACGAAAGGGAGAAUCUGAAUGUAUUGUCACGUAGAGGGCCAGCUGGGUUUGUAUGGGCAGGGUUGUGAAAGUCUGGGGAUGUUGGACAUGGCGUAUCAUUAAAGGCACCAUAAAAUUGGUUGUCGUAAUCCAAUCUGUAUGAUCUGUACAGUUUUGUCUGAAGUUUGGGUAUUACUGAGGAAGGUUUAUGUCUGUAACUUAAAUUUUAUGAAGGAAUGGUAGGUACUAAUCGGUCCCAGGUCAUUCGUUGUCGAAUGGGGUCCCUCAGAGUCUGGGGUGGAACCAUCGGAUGAAUUUUAUUGGUAGGAUACGUACCCCCAGGUCAGUCAUUUCAAAUGGGGUCCCUCAGCACUUGGGGUGAAACCAUCUGACGAAUUUUAUUAUGCAGGAGAUGUAUCCCAGUGUUAGUUAAUUUUAUUUAAGGGUGGGUAGGUACAAAUCGGUCCCAUGCCAGUUGUGGUCGGAUGGGGUCCCUCAGAGUCUGGGGUAGAACCAUCCGAUGAGGUUUUGGUAGGAGAUGUACCUUCUCCCCAGGUCAGUCAUUUUUUGAUGGGGUCCCUCAGAGUCUGAGGUGAAACCAUCGGAGAUUUAUUGCACCGGGAAGCUCUUGUUUUAGUUAUGCAUUAUUAGAGUAUGUCAGUUUAGUACUCCAAUUGAUACCACUUCUUGUAAAUGGCGGGCACAGUGUGUCUGCAGAGUGGAUCGUAAAUGUGCCUUUUUCCGACCUUGGGGCUGAGCACCCUGAGGUGGGUUUUGUUAGUUCACCGUCGGGGCGACGUUGCAGAAACUUGGGGUGGAUUGUAGCAGGAUUAGGUGAGCUGUGAUUGACAGCUGAUUUCACCUAUUAGGAAGGGGCAGUCCCUUUUUAAGAGCCGAUUGGCUGCUGCCCGGGAUGCGUCAUGUCCUGUUUUCCCCCUGGGUGUUUGCAAUGUUAGCGGCAGUCUGUCAUUUGUCCAGCGUGCUGGUGCCCUCGUUGUGCUGUUAUAGUGGGUUACGUGACUGUUGAACCUCAGUUGGCUUUAGGUUGACCUGAUGUUGGUUAACAUAUGCCGGUAAAAUGUUAAUUCGUCUGGGGUGACCACUGUUCGGUUUCUCCCUUUCGUUCCAUUCAGUGUCUCUCCAUGCGCUUUGUUUUUAACUAUUGCGCUGCAGUGUUGCCCCGCUGUUAACCAUGACAUUAUCUGCACUGCUAUAAUCUGAACUGUACACUGUCUGGUUCUGCUGGGCAUCUAGAAGUAACGCUCCACUUUUAACGUGACUAUUACAAAGCCAAGGUUCGCUCUCGGUGUGUGAACGAGUAGCUUUCCAUCAGCUUUGUUUUUAAUGCAUCGAGUAUCUGUUUACUUGGUUUGUUUACUUUUUUUUCUCUUAUUGUCUAAGUAGACAACAAUUUGUCUGUGAACUUGUCUCUGUCCAUAUGAUCCAAGGUACUAAUAUGUAAGAUUGCUCAUUGCAGUGGGUUCUUGAGGACUGUGCCCUGUUUAUUAUACUGACUGCUACAUUGUUAGUACCUACAUCUUGUAUACUGCCUUAUUGUAUGGAUGUGGUUUAAUUGUCGUUGAUUCUCUAUUUGAUUCUUUUCUUUUAUUGUUUGUGGUGGUCAUCAGCCUUGUGAGUAAGGCUAGGCGCCACCAUUUUGUUUUGAGUGACCUAAUUAUUUACAUUGUUUUAAUUUGUUGCAGGAGCUGGGGUCCCAUGGGUGGAUGGAUCUGUCCGGUGGUGGUGCUUCCUCCUCAGUGCGUGCUGUGUAACACUUGAAGUGUGUGUGGUGUGAUCUAAGUGCACAGUGGGGUGAUUGUGUGUGCCUUUUUGUAAACAAGUCGUGAUUAAGUGAUCCCUCCCACUGGGGACCUCAGCCCUGCUGAUUACUAUGUGUUUGUUUGUUUCUAUUAAUUUUACUUUUUUUAGUGUGUGUUGAUUGUGGUGCAUUUUGAAGUGGAGAGAGUGUAUGUUUUAGAGUGCUCCUUUUACAAAGAUUAUGUGUAAAUAAAAAUCUAUUCUUGUAUUAUA